rnacentral:rRNA from 1 species
AGAGUUUGAUCCUGGCUCAGGACGAACGCUGGCGGCGUGCCUAAUACAUGCAAGUCGAACGCACUGACGGAGAACUUGUUCUCUUGACGUGAGUGGCGCACGGGUGAGUAACACGUGGGAAACCUACCCUUCAGCGGGGGAUAACCAUCGGAAACGAUGACUAAUACCGCAUAGACGACAGAACCGCCUGGUUCAAUCGGGAAAGACGGCUUCGGCUGUCACUGAAGGAUGGUCCCGCGCUGCAUUAGCUAGUUGGUAAGGUAACGGCUUACCAAGGCGAUGAUGCAUAGCCGACCUGAGAGGGUGAUCGGCCACAUUGGGACUGAGACACGGCCCAAACUCCUACGGGAGGCAGCAGUAGGGAAUCUUCCGCAAUGGACGCAAGUCUGACGGAGCAACGCCGCGUGUGUGAAGAAGGUUUUCGGAUCGUAAAGCACUGUUAUUAGAGAAGAACAGCCGAUAGAGUAACUGUUAUCGGUUUGACGGUAUCUAACCAGAAAGUGACGGCUAACUACGUGCCAGCAGCCGCGGUAAUACGUAGGUCACAAGCGUUGUCCGGAUUUAUUGGGCGUAAAGGGAGCGCAGGCGGUUUGUUAAGUCUGAUGUGAAAGCCCACGGCUCAACCGUGGAACGGCAUUGGAAACUGGCAAACUUGAGUAUAGAAGAGGAAAGUGGAAUUCCAUGUGUAGCGGUGAAAUGCGUAGAUAUAUGGAGGAACACCAGUGGCGAAGGCGACUUUCUGGUCUAUAACUGACGCUGAGGCUCGAAAGCGUGGGGAGCGAACAGGAUUAGAUACCCUGGUAGUCCACGCCGUAAACGAUGAGUGUUAAGUGUUGGGGGGCUUCCACCCCUCAGUGCUGGCGUUAACGCAAUAAACACUCCGCCUGGGGA